rnacentral:rRNA from 1 species
CACUCCUGCGGGAGGCAGCAGUGGGGAAUUUUGGACAAUGGGCGAAAGCCUGAUCCAGCCAUGCCGCGUGCAGGAUGAAGGCCUUCGGGUUGUAAACUGCUUUUGUACGGAACGAAACGGCCUUUUCUAAUAAAGAGGGCUAAUGACGGUACCGUAAGAAUAAGCACCGGCUAACUACGUGCCAGCAGCCGCGGUAAUACGUAGGGUGCAAGCGUUAAUCGGAAUUACUGGGCGUAAAGCGUGCGCAGGCGGUUAUGUAAGACAGUUGUGAAAUCCCCGGGCUCAACCUGGGAACUGCAUCUGUGACUGCAUAGCUAGAGUACGGUAGAGGGGGAUGGAAUUCCGCGUGUAGCAGUGAAAUGCGUAGAUAUGCGGAGGAACACCGAUGGCGAAGGCAAUCCCCUGGACCUGUACUGACGCUCAUGCACGAAAGCGUGGGGAGCAAACAGGAUUAGAAACCCAUGUAGUCCCA